rnacentral:rRNA from 1 species
GGCGUCAGGAGUGAGCGCUGGCGGCGUGCUUAACACAUGCAAGUCGAACCGGAGGACCCCCGUACGUACGGAAGUUUUCGGUACGAACUGAAGGGAAUCCUUAGUGGCGGACGGGUGAGUAACGCGUGAGCACUAACUUGGAUGGGGAGUACAGCUGAACAGCUGCUAAUACCGCAUGAUAUGUCUGUAUCACAUGGUACUGGACAUCAAAGAUCUAUCGCUCUGAGAUGGGCUCGCGUCUGAUUAGCUAGUUGGUGAGGUAACGGCCCACCAAGGCGACGAUCAGUAGCCGGACUGAGGGGUUGGCCGGCCACAUUGGGACUGAGACACGGCCCAGACUCCUACGGGAGGCAGCAGUGGGGAAUAUUGGGCAAUGGGCGCAAGCCUGACCCAGCAACGCCGCGUGAAGGAAGAAGGCUCUCGGGUUGUAAACUUCUUUUAUCAGGGACGAAGCAAGUGACGGUACCUGAUGAAUAAGCCACGGCUAACUACGUG